UACAUGUGGGGCAAGCGUUGUUCGGAAUUACUGGGCAUAAAGGGUGCGUAGGUGGCUUGUUAAGUCAGGGGUGAAAGUUUUCGGCCCAACCGGAAAAUGGCCUUUGAUACUGGAGAGCUCGAGUCCGGGAGAGGUGAGUGGAACUGCGAGUGUAGAGGUGAAAUUCGUAGAUAUUCGCAAGAACACCAGUGGCGAAGGCGGCUCACUGGCCCGGUACUGACGCUGAGGUGCGAAAGCGUGGGGAGCAAACAGG
rnacentral:rRNA from 1 species